AUUUAUUUGAAAUAGUAUCCCGUGAGACAGAGUCCAGCCAAUUAGCGAGCAACAUUUUAACAUGCAGGUGGAGUUUAUAUUAGUAACCCGGGCAGGCUGGUGCACAAGUUAAAUAACCGUGUAGCAGGGGAUAGUGAGGAAAGUAAUGUGCUUGUUAAUGGGCUUGUUAGAUCUAGGGAACUAACCUACAAAUAUGUGCAGGAACAAAACUGAAGUGUCUGUG